UCCUUAUUCCUCUAAAGAUUUAUAAUAUUCCUAUUCCUACAACUUGAAUUUCAAGUGAAGAGAAGAUUUACUAGCAUUCUCCAAAUGAGUUAAGUUCUCAUAUCAGAAAUUGCAAGAAGUAUUGAAGUCAGGGGGACCUGUGCAUUUGACAACACAUUUGGAUUUCUUGUGGCACUACUUAAGGAGAAUAAAAUUUCACUUUCAGCUGGAUAAUCAGACAGAUUUCAAAUAUUGAAAGGAAAUCAGGACAGAAGACAACAGCACAUAGUCUGA
rnacentral:lncRNA from 1 species